ACUUUGAUGUCACGCCAUGAAGAAACAAAUUAGUAUAACUCAAUGAAAUCCAGUCUGAUCAGUACCAGACUUUACAGGCAUGAUGUCAGACCCGCCCUGAACAGAUUGAUGUGCCCAUUGUCGGAAAUACGGACAGCGCCACCUAGUGGCAACAGGAAAUGUCAUGGCUUUAAUUUUGUUGUACUGAUUUUCACAGGUUCAUCGUGGCCACCUCAAAAGCGGUGAAUAUCACCAUCAGUCCCUCGUGAUGCUUCAGUGCAAAAAUUGUGACUUUAAACUGAACGGCGCACCCUGGUGGCAACGCUGUUCACCAUGAAAGAUGAAGUGGCUUUUGAGGGUCUUGGCAAGUUUAUAGAGGCUUGAAAUUUGGCACACACCUCCAAUGUGAUGAAGGCUUUGUUGUCAUGUGAUCAUUUUCAUUGAAUAUCCCAAAAUGGCUCCACAGCGCCCCCUACAAAAUUUCAAAACCACAGCCCCAGCUCUGUGUUUUAUGUAUGAGUCUGAAACCUGGUAAGCUUAUAGGAGAUAUCAAGAUGUACAAAAAAGUCUCUUGGAGCAAUAUCCCAAAUCCAACAGGAAGUCAGCCAUUUUAAAAUUAAUGUGCAAUUUUGGCAACAUUUUCCCCUCUUUUCAGGCAUCGUUCUUUGACGAACUCCUCCAAGGGAUUUCAUCAGAUUGCACUAUUCUUCAGUGUGUGGAAUCCAAAGACCUUUGUGUUGUUAAAUUGCGAAGCUUUUUACGUUCAGGGAAACGGGGUGGUUAUGGCGGCACGUAGACUCUCAAUCACUCGCCAAAACGCAGUAAUCUGCUGUUACUCAAAAACACAAUGUCCAAUCUCACCCAAAGGUCGCAGGCAUAAUGAGACUCGAGUUCGGAAAUGUUUGUUAUGCCAUUUGUACAUAAUGGUUAGAGUGCCACCUAGUGGAACGACUAGCUAAUCAUGAAUGAAUGAGUUGAAAUGUUAGCUGGUGGUUAAAUGCAUGAAUUCCAUCAAUGUGACAUCGAUCGGACGUGCUGGUUUUAGGUGUUGGGCGUGGCUCGACGCGCCGGGGGUGCGAGGGCCCUCAUAACGCUGCUUGCAGCUUUAAUUAGGGCCCGAGCACCGAGAGUGCGAAGGCCCUAUUGUAUCUGCUCCGUUUCUUAUUAUUAUUAUUAUUAUUAUUAUUAUUAUUAUUAUUCACCCCAAACAAGGGCCUUUUUGAGGGCCUAAACAUGCUCAAAAACUCAUGAAAUUUUGCACACAUGCCAGGUCUGGUGAAAAAUUUUGUAUUUUAAUGGUUUUACAUAUGAGCACUGGGAAAUGGCUCUAGAGCGCCACCUAUGCCUUGUUAAAUGCAGCC
ensembl:lncRNA